CAGUGGGGAAUAUUGGGCAAUGGAGGGAACUCUGACCCAGCGACGCCGCGUGCGGGAUGAAGGCCUUCGGGUUGUAAACCGCUUUCAGCAAGGAAGAAGCGAAAGUGACGGUACUUGCAGAAGAAGCACCGGCUAACUAUGUGCCAGCAGCCGCGGUAAUACAUAGGGUGCAAGCGUUGUCCGGAAUUAUUGGGCGUAAAGAGCUCGUAGGUGGUUCGUCACGUCGGAUGUGAAAAUCUGGGGCUUAACCCCAGACCUGCAUUCGAUACGGGCGAGCUAGAGUGUGGUAGGGGAGACUGGAAUUCCUGGUGUAGCGGUGGAAUGCGCAGAUAUCAGGAGGAACACCAAUGGCGAAGGCAGGUCUCUGGGCCAUUACUGACACUGAGGAGCGAAAGCGUGGGGAGCGAACAGGAUUAGAUACCCUGGUAGUCCACGCCGUAAACGGUGGGCACUAGUUGUGGGAACCUUCCACGGUUUCUGCGACGCAGCUAACGCA
rnacentral:rRNA from 1 species